AUUGAACGCUGGCGGCAUGCCUCACACAUGCAAGUCGAGCGAGCGGCGGACGGGUUAGUAAUGUCUGGGAAACUGCCUGAUGGAGUGUGAUAACUCCUUGAAACGGUAGCUAAUACCGCAUACCAUCAGAUGUGCCCAGAUGUGAUUAGCUAGUAGGUGGGGUAAUGGCUCACCUAGGCGCCGAUGCCUAGCUGGUCUGAGAGGAUGACCAGCCACACGGGAACUGAGCCACGGUCCUGACUCCUACGUGAGGCAGCAGUGGGGAAUAUUGCACAAUGGGCGCAAGCCUGAUGCAGCCAUGCAGCGUGUGUGAAGAAGGCAUUCGGGUUGUAAAGCACGUUCAGCGGGGAGGCGUUACCCGCAGAAGAAGCACCGGCUAACUCCGUGCCAGCAGCCGCGGUAAUAC
rnacentral:rRNA from 1 species